GCUCGUGGUUUAAGGUGAAAGCCGAGGUUAACGCAGUUGCCGUGAUGAGUAAACACCCACAGGUGUGCUCAACGCGCAACGAGUCUGAAGUCCCGUCUUCGAGAAGAGCACGUCCUCGCUGAUGUUAGCAAAGAUGCUAACACCGAGACCCAGGAGAGUUCAGCCAGGGCAGGGCAAAGGCCAUUGCCAUGACCUCCAAAUGGAUGACUGCUGCCAACACAACAAGCCAGCGGCACACCACCUGGAUGCCACCUGUUACUCAGUACCAAAAACAGGCAGGAUUUGAACCAGAUGCUGCACUUCUGGCACCAAGCUCCACGCUUUUUCCUGAGCACUUUACAGUCUUCAUUCUGGGUGUUGGAUGCCAAAAUUCCCAG